AGCAUCCAUUCCUGCCCAUUAGGUUCCCAUUGUGAUGAAGAGCACGCAGGCAUGAAAAGUUGAAAAAGGAUUUAUUAAAGUUUAAAAUGUGAAUGACUCUUAAAAUAUAAGAACAAUUUAAAUGUUAAAGAUGAGAAUUAUUAAGUUAUUUCUUGUUAUGUCUCUUGUUGCUGCUCAUUGCGUCUUUAUGUCUCUUUGCUGUGGUCAAAUUUUAACAAAGAAAAUCUGAGAAUUUACCUC